GGAACAGCCACAUUCUGGAACAUUAUGAAACAUUGCUUGCUGUCACGCUGGAAGGAAGAAAGGCAAGAGCAGGAAAUAUCUGGCCAACAGAACGAAUGGCGUCCAACUAACAGCAUCUUGUGAAAAUAAAAUGAGUUAAUGAAAGUUAACUCACUUAAGACAGC
ensembl:lncRNA novel transcript